rfam:Pteropus alecto contig165300, whole genome shotgun sequence.
AUAUUGGUCUUUUUAAAGACCAAUAACAUUACAGAUAUAAUUGAAG